UGAUGUGACCAAUUCAUUUUUCUACUGUUGGUUUUGAUUUGUGUACAGUGUAUUAACCAUGUAUCAUAUUCAAUAAUCUUGUAAUGUUUUUUCAAAAAAUGUGUACAAAGACUAUGGUAUAGGCAUUUUGAUACGGCCAAGGAUCUUGAAUUUUAGCUUAUUUAGAUAAGACAUGUUGGCCUUUUAAUAGAGCUUAAUUCAAAAUAGGUCUUUAAAUAGGUUAACAGACCGAAGCACACGUAAAAAAACGUCUAUGACAAGUAACAGAUUAGACUUGCGUCUUAAAUAUGUAGAGAAAAUCUUGGCCUAAUCUAGCCUAAUUCCAUCCCCAUUGGAUUCGGGAAACAUAUUUAAUUGUUUAUCGGUUUAUAAAACAACAAUCAAAAUGGGGGUGAAACGACCCGUUUAUUGUUUAUGAGCUUAAUUAUUAUAAUUGUCAUUAUCAUAUUAUAUUAUAUAAAAGUGAUUAUGCAAGGAUGGGGGAGGAAAAAAAAAACGUGGUCUGAUUGAAAAGGGGGUGGGGUCACGUAACCCACCUUUUGUUUUUUGAAAAUAAGAUACCCUAAUUGUUUAAAGAAAAACCAUUGAACCUACUCCCAAUAUUUCUUUCCCAGCCGUAACCUCCCUUUCUUCUUUCUCGACAUAUUCUCCUCCUUACUUCUCCCACAGAACUUCUUCAAUUUCUUCUUUUACUCUUGUUCCAAAGGAAAACAGCCCCAAUUCCCCUUUAAUAUAUAUCCAUUCACGAACAAGGUUGACGGGGUUUCAAAUGGAACAAACCUGGUUUAACUGUUUGGAGUAGGAGUGGUGCUUUGAAGGAGAAGUAAAUCCAGCCCUUCAGCAUUGUCCAAUUCAAUUUAUUUAAGAUUUGACGGGUGAAGGUUCGUUGGGUUGUCGCGAAAUUGCUGAGGACGGUCCAGUUGGCUCGUUAUAGCUAUUCUUCAGCAGCUGAGUAGCAAGCUGUUCUUGGAUUCAGAUUGUCAGUUGUCUUGCUGGUAGGCCUCCAUCAGCUGGUGGCCUCAUUGCUAUGUUACUUCUUUGAUUCUAGUUAUCUGCAGCUAUAGGGAGUCAUAAGUGAAUUUAGUUUGGGGUUGACGGUAUCUUCUUAAUUUUAAAGGUUGACAUUGAGCGUCGAAUUUUGGUUUUGUACCUUUUCUUGAAAUUUGGAUUUGGAGAAUAUUAUUUAGCAGGUUAUGUUAUUUUGAGAUUACUGAAAUACAAAGGAGACUCUGUCUUUUUUUAUAAA